ACAUGACUCUGAUCGGCGUCCUCAUCUGGACUCUCCUCUGCUGCUGCUUCACAGAGUCCAGAGGCCAGAUCACAGUGACUCAGCCUGGAGCAGUGAGGUCUGCUCUGGGAGAGUCCAUCACCAUCAACUGUAAGACCAGUCCAGAGGUUUAUGAUGGGUACUAUUUGAACUGGUACCAAAAGAAAGAUGGAGAAGCUCCUAAACUGCUCAUUUACUAUGCUGACACUCGAGAAUCAGGGAUUCCAGAUCGUUUUACAGGCAGUGGAUCAAACACUGACUUCACUCUGACCAUCAGUGGAGUCCAGACUGAAGAUGCAGCAGUUUACUACUGUCAGAGUUUUCAUGUUAUCAACAGUCAGUAUGUGUUCACACAGUGA